UAGGGAAUAUUGGACAAUGGGGGCAACCCUGAUCCAGCCAUGCCGCGUGAGUGAAGAAGGCCCUCGGGUUGUAAAGCUCUUUUGUCCGGAAAGAAAAGCUUCGGGUUAAUACCCCGGGGUUCUGACGGUACCGGAAGAAUAAGCACCGGCUAACUCCGUGCCAGCAGCCGCGGUAAUACGGAGGGUGCAAGCGUUAUCCGGAUUCACUGGGUUUAAAGGGUGCGUAGGUGGGUAUGUAAGUCAGUGGUGAAAUCCCCGAGCUUAACUUGGGAACUGCCAUUGGUACUAUAUAUCUUGAAUACCGUAGAGGUAAGCGGAAUAUGUCAUGUAGCGGUGAAAUGCUUAGAUAUGACAUGGAACACCAAUUGCGAAGGCAGCUUACUAUGCGGUGAUUGACACUGAGGCACGAAAGCGUGGGUAGCAAACA
rnacentral:rRNA from 1 species